UACGUAGGCAGCGAGCGUUGUUCGGAGUUACUGGGCGUAAAGAGUGCGUAGGCGGUUUCGUAAGUUUGGUGUGAAAUCUCCUGGCUCAACUGGGAGGGUGCGCCGGAAACUGGAGUGCUUGAGCGUGGGAGAGGAAAGCGGAAUUCCUGGUGUAGCGGUGAAAUGCGUAGAUAUCAGGAGGAACACCUGUGGUGUAGACGGCUUUCUGGACCAUAGCUGACGCUGAGACACGAAAGCGUGGGGAUCAAACAGG
rnacentral:rRNA from 1 species